AUGGAGGACCUAUGGUUUCAAAAGCUUUUCAGGUGAUUCUAAUGAGCAAUCAGGGUCGAAUGUUGCUAUUGAAGGAAACAGUGGCAUAAGUAAAUAAGAUCUAUAGAGAGGGAAAGACCAAAUGUUAAGCAAUGCUCCCCAGAUAUCUCAAAUUUUCCUUCAAAAUGGUCAACCAGAGGCAUCGCUGGUAUUCCUUUCUCUCCGCUCACCUGCUAGUUGAGAUGCCAAAGGUGGAUGGCACAAUGGACACUCCACGCAGAUCUUUUGAAAAAUUGAUGGGGAAUUAAAAAAGAGACUAUCAUCUCUACUUUCCCUUUUGGCGAAAUUUCGCUAAGGUAUACUCCAACCAUUCCACUUCACUGCACUCUCGCGCGCAGCCUCUCUUCCUGUGAGUGAGGAAGACGCUGCAUCCCAGAACCUGACUACACGAUGAUGCAAGUUGAGUGGAGACUGGUGGCAGAAGAUGAGCUGGAGCCCAAGAAACCAGCAAGACACUAUAGGAGAAAUGAAGGAAAGCUGGAAACCAUUAUUGAAGAUGGACUACAGCCCACAAAUGUGAUUUCAUUUAAUCUCCCUGAUCACUUUGCUUUCAUCCACACUUUGCAAAUGAGGCUCUGACUGCUUUUGUCAAAUUAGUAGAGACUGUAUUCAAUGCAGAUACACCAGAAUCUUAUGCUCCUAGCUUUCUCACAAUGCCACUAUUUAUGAGUGAGGUAAAGGGGAAGUAGAUUAGGCUGAUGGUAGUCCCGAGAGUGGUGAUGGGAGGCAUCAAGGACAUCAAAGCUGUUUCAAAGGAAUGAAAACAUCUUCCCAAAUUUUGAACUCAAUUUCAAUAUACCUUAGCCUUCAGUAUUCAUGCAACAUGGUUUGAGUGCCAAUACCCCAGGAUUUGGAAUAGGAAAUGCCUGGAUUUCCAUCUCUGCCACCCCUAUAGCAGUCCCACUUGGGGGAAAUUCUCUAACUCUCUGAGUCUCGGUUUCCCCAUCUGUCAAUUGUCUCCCUCUCAGUACCCCAAGGACUGGAGACUAUGCUAAUGAAGCUCAAAUACUGUGGAUGUCACAAGCAGGCAUUUUCUAUGUGAAACUAUUUUAAUAUUACAUACCCCAGAAAAUUAUUAAUGCUUAAGUAUGAUCCCCUUUGAGUUUCAAAUGUUUCUCUAUAUUAUUCUGAUCUGCUUCAGAUCAUCACCCUGUCUUCGUGAAACUACUUAUCUUGAGGAAUCAGAGAAAGUACCUUCAAAAUGUUAACACAGGAAAGGUCAGAGAUAGCACGUGAAGAAUUUCAAAGAUAAUCCUAUCCUUCUCUUUCUUCUGCCAGACUCUGUUUUCAGCUGGUUCAGAGUAAUUUAUGUCUCUGGUUCAGUUAAAGUAUGUGGCGUCAUUUAGACACUGCAAAUAUAACACCAAUUUUACCGCAACCUAAUUGUAGAGUGACAAGAGAUAAAUCUAGAAGAUACAUAUAGUAUGAAACAGCCAAGAGUGCUUCACUUAUAUAAGAACCACGCAUAGAGGAACAUUAUGUUGAAAGUGAGGAAUAGCUGAAGUUGUAAUUCAUGCAGUUCAUAUAUAAAUAACACCAAGGACUCCUAGGAUAUCUGCAACUUAAUCAGUUGCCCAUUAACGUAUUGUCGGAUAAAUGCAGAUGUGUAAUUAUUGUAUGCUGCUAAAACCACCUUUAUUUUCAUUUAAGAUUCUGGUUAAAUGAUCUGUGGGAUAUCUCUGGAGUCCUUGUCAACCAUUUGAAUUGAGGAUAUAUAUAAGAAACAUUGAUUCAGGUAAAUAAAUAAAAGUGCAAUAUUACAAAACUGUGAAGGGAGCUUGGAAAACAACCCUAAAAUUAAACCCAGCUUAAAAGCAAGGGACCACAAUUAAAUUAAAGUUAAAGAAGCAAAAAGAUCACAAUGAAACAAAAAUCUUAUACUUUAAAAGGUUUAUUUUAAAAUAGCUCCAAAUUCCAAAUUGCAAACACAGAAAAUCACCAUUGUCAACCAACAGUUAUUGAAUACUACAGUAGGUAUGUUGAACUUUGAAUAAUUGAAUUGUACAUUUAAAAUAUAAUCUGUCUUUUAUGACAGAAAUCAGGCAGUUCCUGGCAUAAUUUGACAG
ensembl:lncRNA